AGGUGCGAAAGCGUGGGGAGCAAACAGGAUUAGAUACCCUGGUAGUCCACGCCGUAAACGAUGUCGACUUGGAGGUUGUGCCCUUGAGGCGUGGCUUCCGGAGCUAACGCGUUAAGUCGACCGCCUGGGGAGUACGGCCGCAAGGUUAAAACUCAAAUGAAUUGACGGGGGCCCGCACAAGCGGUGGAGCAUGUGGUUUAAUUCGAUGCAACGCGAAGAACCUUACCUGGUCUUGACAUCCACAGAACUUUCCAGAGAUGGAUUGGUGCCUUCGGGAACUGUGAGACAGGUGCUGCAUGGCUGUCGUCAGCUCGUGUUGUGAAAUGUUGGGUUAAGUCCCGCAACGAGCGCA
rnacentral:rRNA from 1 species